CCUACGGGGGGCAGCAGUGGGGAAUAUUGGGCAAUGAGCGCAAGCCUGACCCAGCAACGCCGCGUGAAGGAAGAAGGCUUUCGGGUUGUAAACUUCUUUUGUCAGGGACGAAGCAAGUGACGGUACCUGACGAAUACGCCACGGCUAACUACGUGCCAGCAGCCGCGGUAUUACGUAGGUGGCAGGCGUUAUCCGGAUUUACUGGGUGUAAAGGGCGUGUAGGCGGGACUGCAAGUCAGAUGUGAAAACCACGGGCUCAACCUGUGGCCUGCAUUUGAAACUGUAGUGCUUGAGUACUGGAGAGGCAGACGGAAUUCCUAGUGUAGCGGUGAAAUGCGUAGAUAUUAGGAGGAACACCAGUGGCGAAGGCGGUCUGCUGGACAGCAACUGACGCUGAGGCGCGAAAGCGUGGGGAGCAAACAGGAUUAGAUACCCCAGUAGUC
rnacentral:rRNA from 1 species